UCCUGGGUGGCUCAGUCGGUUGAGCGUCUGACUUCGGCUCAGGUCAUGAUCUCGCGGUCCGUGAGUUCGAGCCUCACGUCGGGCU
rnacentral:tRNA from 1 species